AAAGCAUUGCACCAUUUUGAGAGUGAAGGCAGUACUUUGCCUCUCGCUCCUGUACUCAGUUACUGUUUCUCACAGAAGGCAACCUGCAGUGGGGGUGAGCAGAGUAUGUGCCAGCUGUGCAGCAGCAGCACAGCUACUUUGUUGCCUGUAGCAUUUUUAUUUCUGUUGAUGUGAGAGCUGGAAGGGAUCGGGUGUGAUUUUCAGGUGCUGGGCUAUGUUUGCAGGUCUGCCUGUUACAAGGGCUGCGUUCAUCUGCCCAGACACAAUGGGCAGAGGAAAUGUAAGACAAAUCUAUAAGGCUUUUCCCUCAGCUAUCCCACACAAAGAUGUGGUGGUUGCAAUUUAUUAACUGGACAUUGCUUAAAGUGCAUUCUAUUGAAUUGUAUCCUGAAAAACAAAUUCCAGGUUUGGAGCUGCUGGAGCUUUGUGACUGGUCUGGCCAGAGCUAUGCAAGUGCAAGGGACUAGUUUGAGAGUCAUCACGGAUUCUCCUAAGGCAAACCUGUCUGUUGGUGUAAUGUCAGUGCAACCAGAUGAAUCACAGCCCAAGUUUUUAUGCUGAGAACUACUAGCUCAGCUUUUUUUCCCCAUCAGCUCAUAAUUUUACAAGAUGAAAUCCCACCGUGUUAAUAUAUAGUAUAGAAUCAAUCAGUUGGUUGUUAAGACUCAUUUGGAGUUGGUGAUUUGGACAAUUGGUUUUGGGUGAGCUGCCAGUGUAUGUUUGCUGUGUUGCCAUUCAAUGUCAACCCUCCCAUUGCAUUCUGUAAGAGCUUCCAUUAAUUUCAGUAGAAAUCUGCAUUUGGGGUGAAGGGUGACCUAAUCUUUAGAAUGGAUCUUAAUCCACUUAGCCUUUCUUGCAAAGCUCAGCGUUUUUUCCUUGUCAGGAGCAGACUGCAUUCCUAACCUUGAUGUGUCACUUUCCAGUUGGCUUAAUAUUUGGGUGAGGAUAAAAAGGAAAUGUUGUUCAAAGAUUAAAAGAACCCAUGCUGCUAAGGUAUGUGCACGUGUGAUAUGCAAGUAUAAAAAAAAAGAAGAUAUGAGCAUAAUUGUGUUUGGGUGGUGGAAACAAGGUAUAAUAACAUCAGCAGAUGACUAUGGAAAACAAGUACAGGAAGAGGUAAAUCCAUUUGAAACAGUGUAAAUGGGAAAUUAUGAGGGAAGAGGAAAUGGGGCUGAAAUGUUGUUUAAUGUAAAUUUAAGUGCAAGACAAAAAUAGGACUCUUGUAAGUUUGACCUGUAAACGUCUCUUCCCAGGGGCCUGAGGGCAGCCAGGAAAAAUACAGUCUCUGAUACAAAUACAAGACCUAGUGCCCAUGCCUUGUGUUUGUUCUCACACAGUAUGGAUGAGGAGUUCGUUCCCUGUUUCACAGGUGGACUUGUUUAGCACGUGUAUAGGCAUACACCUGCUCAACAAGCAGGGAACAAAGUACUUUGCAGGUGGACUGAUUAGAGAGAUACAUGCUGCCUCACUGGGAAUAGUACCCUCUCAGGAGACAGAUGUUCCUACCUUUCUGUUGCACUAGUCUGAUUUGGAGAUCUGUGUAUGAGACAGGUAAGUAAACGGAUAUCUUUCAGAAAUGAGAGUAUAGUAAAAAGUAUCCUUUUUUAGAGAUGCUAUGUAUAAGGGUAUUGCCAAAUGCCUGCUGUUGAGCCACUGGUACUGAAGGCCUUGUCAAGAAGUCACAUGUGAUGGUAGCAGUUCCUCCAGUGGUUACUGCUGUUUCCUUCAUUUAGAGAGUCCUUUCUGCACCCCAGGAUAAAUCCCCAAGGACUGGUUAGCAAUAGCAUAGUUGUUACCUAACAAUAACUUUGGGGAAUCUGAAUUAUCCCUGCAGAUUGGAUUCCAUCCAGAAGCUUAGAUCUGGUUGCCCUUGGGGUAUCCUGAUGUGCCUUCAUGGUGGGUUUCCACUGAGAGCCAUCACAGGCAAUGGAUGUGCAGAUCUAUCAUAGGUGUGCUGGAACUAAAGCAGAUGGAUAUCCCUGGGAAAGUCAAUGGACUGUGCAGGGUAAUCAAGAACCUCAUCUGAGCAGAACUGAAGAAUACUGAGAUUAAUGUUAAGAAACCUGAAGGGCAAGAAUCAGAACAACGCCUUCACCUCCUUUUUAAAAAAUUUGAAGAAAGCUUUCAAGCUACAAUGUAUUUUGGACUUCUUUUUCCAAUGAAAAUGAGGCUUAUGUGAUCAGUCUGUCUGUCUGCUCCUAUUCAGCUGUCAGGCUAGCCCCCUCCUUUUUCCUUCUCAACAUUUAGGGGGGAGGAAAGAAUCUCAAGUUUCAUGAGAACUGGAAGAGAGAAAUAAUCAUUGCCAGCCUCAGGGGAAGGCAGGAGGGGAGCUCAGGCAUGGUAUGAUCCCUUUGGCAGAAGGCUGCCCUUCGACGUGCAUGUGUACACAGCCGUGGAUAACCACACACUGUGCUGCCUGUGUCCCCUUGGAGGGGACUGUCACAGGAAGGUAGGGCUGCUGAGAGAACAGGGCAGAUUAGAGGGACAAAACCCACAGAUCUGUGGGAAACUAAGCAUCAUUGGUGCUACUGCUCAUGGAACAAUUUGGUUAUCUUAAAUAUAGGCAGAAACUGUUCUAAAAGUCUUUGCAGGGAGCCAAGGAAACAGUCACAUAAUAACAGGAAAAAAAAUCAAAACAUUAGAGCUAUUAGGUGACAAAUUUAUUUCUGUGC